UACGUAGGGGGCGAGCGUUGUCCGGAUUUAUUGGGCGUAAAGAGCUCGUAGGCGGCUUGGCAAGUCGGGUGUGAAACCUCCAGGCUCAACCUGGAGACGCCACUCGAUACUGCUAUGGCUAGAGUCCGGUAGGGGACCACGGAAUUCCUGGUGUAGCGGUGAAAUGCGCAGAUAUCAGGAGGAACACCAAUUGCGAAGGCAGCUCGCUGGGACGUUACUGACGCUGAGACGCGAAAGCGUGGGGAGCAAACAGG
rnacentral:rRNA from 1 species